rnacentral:lncRNA from 1 species
UGCUAUUGCAAGUGAGAGUCUCCUGCCUGAGGUAAAAUACUUUAAAACAAAUGACUUUACAUAUUUAUCAGAUCAUGUUCAAAUAAACUUAUAUAUGAAUUGUUCUAUUAUAUCAGAUACAUGUAUAAAGAAAUGUUUAGAUGAAAAGAGAUGGCAUUUGAUAAAAUCAUACAAAUGGACAGAAUUGUCAUCUUCAAAAUUAAUUGAUGUUCUAUCAACAGAAAAUGUUAAAAAGGAAAUUUUAGAUUUAGAGAUGCAACAUUUUGAUAGCAAUAAACUAGGCGUUGAUGGUGCAACUGAAAAACUUACCAAAAUUAUACAAACUAUUGCAGAAAAUACAUGUAAAGUCAUAUCUAAACCAACAAAAAG